UAGGGAAUCUUCCACAAUGGACGCAAGUCUGAUGGAGCAACGCCGCGUGAGUGAAGAAGGUUUUCGGACCGUAAAGCUCUGUUGUUGGUGAAGAAGGAUAGAGGUAGUAACUGGCCUUUAUUUGACGGUAAUCAACCAGAAAGUCACGGCUAACUACGUGCCAGCAGCCGCGGUAAUACGUAGGUGGCAAGCGUUGUCCGGAUUUAUUGGGCGUAAAGCGAGCGCAGGCGGAAGAAUAAGUCUGAUGUGAAAGCCCUCGGCUUAACCGAGGAAUUGCAUCGGAAACUGUUUUCUUGAGUGCAGAAGAGGAGAGUAGAACUCCAUGUGUAGCGGUGGAAUGCGUAGAUAUAUGGAAGAAUACCAGUGGCGAAGGCGGCUCUCUGGUCUGCAACUGACGCUGAGGCUCGAAAGCAUGGGUAGCGAACAGGAUUAGAUACCCUGGUAGUCCAUGCCGUAAACGAUGAGUGCUAAGUGUUGGGAAGCUUCCG
rnacentral:rRNA from 1 species